rnacentral:rRNA from 1 species
AUUGAACGCUGGCGGUAGGCCUAACACAUGCAAGUCGAACGCGAAAGUCCUUCGGGAUGAGUAGAGUGGCGGACGGGUGAGUAACGCGUAGGAAUCUGUCCUGUAGUGGGGGAUAACGUUUCGAAAGGAACGCUAAUACCGCAUUCGCCCUACGGGGGAAAGCGGGGGAUCUUCGGACCUCGUGCUAUAGGAGGAGCCUGCGUCGGAUUAGCUAGUUGGUGAGGUAAAGGCUCACCAAGGCGACGAUCCGUAGCUGGUCUGAGAGGAUGAUCAGCCACACCGGAACUGAGACACGGUCCGGACUCCUACGGGAGGCAGCAGUGGGGAGUAUUGCGCAAUGGGCGAAAGCCUGACGCAGCCAUACCGCGUGUGUGAAGAAGGCCUUCGGGUUGUAAAGCACUUUCAGUGGGGAGGAAAAGCUGGUGGCUAAUAUCCAUCGGCCGUGACGCUACCCACAGAAGAAGCACCGGCUAAUUCCGUGCCAGCCGCCGCCGUAAAAC